UUGGGAGCUAGCAGGCGUUUUCUAUGACUCUGCUAGAACCCACCCGGAAACGAUAAGUUUCGAUAUCCGGGGGAAGUAUACUUGCAAAUGCGAAACUUAAAGGAAUUGACGGAAGGGCACCACCAGGGGUGGAGCCUGCGGCUUAAUUUGACUCAACACGGGGAAACUCAUCCGGUCCGGACACCGGGAGGAUUGACAGAUUGAGAGCUCUUUCUUGAUUUGGUGGGCAGUGGUGCAUGGCCGUUCUUAGUUGGUGGAGUGAUUUGUCUGGUUUAUUCCGAUAACGAACGAGACUCUGGCCUACUAACUAGUUGCGCGAUCUUUUUGUCGUGCCAACUUCUUAGAGGGACAAGCGGUGCUCAGCCGCAUGAAAAAGAGCAAUAACAGGUCUGUGAUGCCCUUCGAUGUUCGGAGCUGCACGCGCGCUACACUGUGAGUGGCAGCAUGUUAGCUUGCCUCGCUCGCAAGAGUGGGGUAAUCGGUUGGAAAUCUCACGUGAUUGGGAUAGGGACUUGUAAAUGUUUCCCUUGAACGAGGAAUCCCUAGUAAGUGCAGGUCAUCAGCUUGCGCUGAUUACGUCCCUGCCCUUUGUACACACCGCCCGUCGCUGCCCGGAACUGAGCC
rnacentral:rRNA from 1 species